CAUUGCCGAAUCCUGCCCAGCGGAAUGACCAGAGAA
rnacentral:rRNA from 1 species